rnacentral:rRNA from 1 species
CCUACGGGAGGCAGCAGUGGGGAAUUUUGCACAAUGGGGGAAACCCUGAUGCAGCGACGCCGCGUGAGUGAAGAAGUAUUUCGGUAUGUAAAGCUCUAUCAGCAGGGAAGAAAAUGACGGUACCUGAUUAAGAAGCCACGGCUAACUACGUGCCAGCAGCCACGGUAAUACGUAGGUGGCAAGCUUUGCCCGGAUUUACUGGGUCUAAAGGGCGUGGAGCCGGAGAGACAAGUCAGAUGUGAAAUCAACGGGCUCAACCCGUGAACUGCAAUUGAAACGGUUUCCCUUGAGUUUCGGAGAGGUAAUCGGAAUUCCUAGUGUAGCGGUGAAAUGCGUAGAUAUUAGGAAGAACACCAGUGGCGAAGGCGGAUUACUGGACGAUAACUGACGGUGAGGCGCGAAAGCGUGGGGAGCAAACAGGAUUAGAUACCCUAGUAGUC